UACGUAGGGUGCAAGCGUUGUCCGGAAUUAUUGGGCGUAAAGAGCUCGUAGGCGGUCUGUCGCGUCGGCUGUGAAAACCCGGAGCUCAACUCCGGGCCUGCAGUCGAUACGGGCAAACUGGAGUACUGCAGGGGAGACUGGAAUUCCUGGUGUAGCGGUGAAAUGCGCAGAUAUCAGGAGGAACACCGGUGGCGAAGGCGGCGUUCUGGACUGCAACUGACACUGAGGAACGAAAGCCAGGGGAGCAAACGGG
rnacentral:rRNA from 1 species